rnacentral:rRNA from 1 species
GACCUGGGCUACACACGUGCUACAAUGGUUGGUACAACGAGUUGCGAGUCGGUGACGGCGAGACUAAUCUCUUAAAGCCAAUCUCAGUUCGGAUUGUAGGCUGCAACUCGCCUACAUGAAGUCGGAAUCGCUAGUAAUCGCGGAUCAGCACGCCGCGGUGAAUACGUUCCCGGGCCUU